GCCGGUGUGGUGAAAUUGGCAGACGCGACGGACUCAAAAUCCGUUGGUAGCGAUACCGUGCCGGUUCGAGUCCGGCCACCGGCACCA
rnacentral:tRNA from 1 species